rnacentral:rRNA from 1 species
AGCGAACGCUGGCGGCAUGCCUAACACAUGCAAGUCGCACGGGGGGGCUUCGGCCUCCCAGUGGCGGACGGGUGAAGAACGCGUAGGGACCUGUCGAGGGGUGGGGGAUAACCGCGGGAAACUGCGGCUAAUACCGCAUGACGCCGCGGCGUGACAGCCGGGGCCAAAGGCGAAAGCCGCCCGCCGAGGGGCCUGCGUCCGAUUAGCUGGUUGGCGGGGUAGCGGCCCACCAAGGCGUCGAUCGGUAGCUGGUCUGAGAGGGUGAUCAGCCACACCGGGACUGAGACACGGCCCGGACUCCUACGGGAGGCAGCAGUGGGGAAUAUUGGACAAUGGGCGCAAGCCUGAUCCAGCAAUGCCGCGUGGGUGAAGAAGGUCUUCGGAUUGUAAAGCCCUUUCGGCGGGGACGAUGGUGACGGUACCCGCAGAAGAAGCCCCGGCUAACUUCGUG